rnacentral:rRNA from 1 species
GAUGAACGCUGGCGGCGUGCCUAAUACAUGCAAGUCGAGCGAACAGACGAGGAGCUUGCUCCUCUGAUGUUAGCGGCGGACGGGUGAGUAACACGUGGAUAACCUACCUAUAAGACUGGGAUAACUUCGGGAAACCGGAGCUAAUACCGGAUAACAUGUUGAACCGCAUGGUUCAACAGUGAAAGACGGUCUUGCUGUCACUUAUAGAUGGAUCCGCGCUGCAUUAGCUAGUUGGUAAGGUAACGGCUUACCAAGGCAACGAUGCGUAGCCGACCUGAGAGGGUGAUCGGCCACACUGGAACUGAGACACGGUCCAGACUCCUACGGGAGGCAGCAGUAGGGAAUCUUCCGCAAUGGGCGAAAGCCUGACGGAGCAACGCCGCGUGAGUGAAGAAGGUCUUCGGAUCGUAAAACUCUGUUAUUAGGGAAGAACAAAUGUGUAAGUAACUAUGCACAUCUUGACGGUACCUAAUCAGAAAGCCACGGCUAACUACGUG